AGGAAUCUGCCUGGUAGUGGGGGACAACGUUUCGAAAGGGACGCUAAUACCGCAUACGUCCUACGGGAGAAAGCAGGGGACCUUCGGGCCUUGCGCUAUCAGAUGAGCCUAGGUCGGAUUAGCUAGUUGGUGAGGUAAUGGCUCACCAAGGCGACGAUCCGUAACUGGUCUGAGAGGAUGAUCAGUCACACUGGAACUGAGACACGGUCCAGACUCCUACGGGAGGCAGCAGUGGGGAAUAUUGGACAAUGGGCGAAAGCCUGAUCCAGCCAUGCCGCGUGUGUGAAGAAGGUCUUCGGAUUGUAAAGCACUUUAAGUUGGGAGGAAGGGCAGUAAGCGAAUACCUUGCUGUUUUGACGUUACCGACAGAAUAAGCACCGGCUAACUCUGCGCCAGCAGCCGCGGUAAUACAGAGGGUGCAAGCGUUAAUCGGAAUUACUGGGCGUAAAGCGCGCGUAGGUGGUUUGUUAAGUUGGAUGUGAAAGCCCCGGGCUCAACCUGGGAACUGCAUCCAAAACUGGCAAGCUAGAGUACAGUAGAGGGUGGUGGAAUUUCCUGU
rnacentral:rRNA from 1 species